UCAGCCUCCCAAAGUGCUGGGAUUACAGGCUUGAGCCACUGCGCCUGCCCUACCAGGACUUUCUUAAUGUAGAGAAGCUAAUUCCCCAAGAGGCUCUUAAAGGACAAUCUAGGAUGGAUAGACUAACAAUCAGCCCCUCCCCUUCUAAUACAUUAGCCUGGCUCAAUGUGUCAUCAGGAGCUUUGAUGUAGAUGGCAUGGAGCCCAGGCCUGGAAGGUUUUGAAAAGGCAGUGAAGUCCAGAGCACAGGACGCUGACUGAGAGAGGACACUCAAUGUCCCUCGGCAGCAGCAUUCGGUGGAGAAUGGCAAGAGCAGGAAGAGGACAUUCACAGGGGACAGGUUCUGCUCUGUCUCUUAGGCUUGAGUGCAGUGGCAUAAUCAUGGCUCGCUGCAACCUCCACCUCCCAGGCUCAAGGGAUCCUCCACCUCAUCCUCCCAGUAGCUGGAAUUACAGGAGUGCACCAACACGCCCAAAAAUACAAUAAUUUUUGUAUUUUUAGUAGAGACGGGGUUUCACCAUAUUGGCCAAGCCACUCUCAAACUCCUGGCCUCAAGCUAUCCACCUGCCUCAGCCUCCCAAAGUGCUGGGAUUACAAGUGUGAGCCACUGUGUCCAGUCAAAAAUGUCUUGGGCAGAAUUCAUCAUUAGUAAUGUCAUCCUCAAAAUGAAUGGUGGGGGGCAGGAGAGAAUCUGUACAAAGUAUUGAUUUUUCAGUUUUCCAAGAGCCUCCACAUGCAUUGUUUCAUUUGAUUCUUACCAAAUAUUACUUUGACUCCUACAUUUUUUUAAUGAGAAAAUGACUCAUCCAAUAGGCAUCCAUUGAGCUGGUCUUUGAACCCAAGCCUGAUGGCCAGAACCUGUAUCCUGUAACUGGAGAGGCCCCAGUGAGUCAAGCUCCCGUGUCCCAGGCCCAGAAAGGCUGGGUGAGUUGGUCAGGGGUCCCAGUGAGUCCGUGGCACGCUUAGGCUUCAAGCCCUGGUCUCCAGAAUUUUAGGGCUGAGUUUCUCUUCAAUCCUGGGCUGUGCUUCAGCUUCUACUUCCUCCAAAGCAAAUGCACCCAAGAAGAAAACAGGAGUUAAACAGAAGCACUGCCAUCAGGUUGCUGAGCUGAGCAAACAAAACCCGAAUAUGACACACUGGCAAGUUAAGUACUUUGAACUAAGGGAAAGGCCUCCAAAGUAGCCUCAGAAACAAAGUCUCUCGCCCUCUUCUGUCUCCUGCCCCUCUUUCUCCCCUGAGGGGAGUCGUAGAAACCAGAAUUUAUCUUCUCCAAGGUGAGACAUAGAAACUAGAUCGUCUCUCUCCCAAAGCAAGCCGUAAAACCUAAAAGGUCACCCUGUCCCUUCUCUCCUGAAGACCCUCAUUCUGGAAGGGUCCUGCCUCAGACCAUGGAAGGAAGGAAUGCUGCACAGAGAGACCAAGACGAAUCUGAACAGAAGGCCUUGCCGGGCCUUGCUGCUGUUACAGAAUCUUCGGGGUGUCGAUUUUCUGGCCAGACAUGGUACAUUUGCCCAAGUUCUCAUCCUGCAGUACACAGACAAGUGAAGGGCAAAGAAGACAAAGAUGAGCUUUAUUGAGUGUUACAACAACUUAGAAGAGACCGCGGUGGGUAGCUCCUCUCUGUAGGCAGAGCAUCCUUCAGUCAAGUGUUCAGUGCUCAGCAGAGAGGAGGCCCUGGAGAGGGUAGUUCCUCUCUGUAGCUGGUUGUGUCCCAUUGUCUCUCUGCCCUCUUUGUUCUCUGGCCAUCCUCUGCCCUGCUCUGGCUGAGCCCAGGGCUUCUAUGGACCUUAGAGAGAACCUGCUGAUUGGUACAAGAGUGGCCAUGGGUGGGCCAGAAGAGGCACCAUGAGUCCCCACUCCAGUUUGUUGGGACUGGCAGCUGGGAGGGGCAGCCCAGCCCUCAGCUUUCAGGCCCGCCCUCUCUAGCCUGAAGUUGGGGCCUUAAAUGGGGACCUGCCCCCAUCUACCCAGGCCUCCCACUGCCAUUCAUGGCCCUAGGGCUCAGCUCCAACCCUGCUCUGAGAUCAGAGCAGGUGCUGGGAGAGGAGAGAGGCCAGGAGGUGGAAGCAGCAGACACCCCGAGCCUGCAGAGAUGGGAUGAAGUGUCGGAGGGAGGAUUCCUGGGACCCUGGAGAGUGCAGGCUGCAGAGACUCCCAGGUCCUGCACCUGGAAGGGCAGCAGCUGCAGCUGCACCCCAGAACUCCCACCCCAGCAACUCAGAAGGGGCGGGGCUCCUGCUUAUCCCCAGUUCCUGCCAAUUCCGUGGAGCAGGAGGCCCAGAUCUGCAGCUGCUGGUCAGGGGGUUGCAGCGGCACCUAGGAGGGCAGAUCUUGCCUGCUCCUGGCCGGCUCCAACAGCACAGAGAACCUGGGCCACAGCUGCAGUUUGGAUAGCUGUGGCCCCACCCAGGAGGGCAAGGCUCCUGCCUGCUCCACAGAGCAGGAGGCCAGGGUCUGCAGGCACGGUUUGGGCAGCUGCAGCGGCACCCAGGGAGCUCCUGCCCCGACUCAGAAGGGGUGGGGUGCCCACCAGCUCCAUGGAGUAUGCAGCCCCAGCCAUGCCUCCCUGCUGUAGCCAGUGGGAUGCCAGCAGCCACUGCCAUCACCAGUCUUCCCCUCUCAGUCUGUUACCGCCAGACCAUGCCCUUUUGUCCAAUCCCAUUUCCACACGGCUGUCUAUCCUUCAAUCCAAGUGUAAAAAUAGACCAUUUUUCAGGAGUCAUUGGCCUUCCAUUUCUGAAGGCUUUGUCUUUUCAUGUGACAAAGUUUCAUGUCACAUAAAAUUUUGAUUAAAUAAAUGUGGUAUG